AGAUAAUUAAAAACCCACAACAAUGUCAUAUUUUCUCUCCUCCCUCAUUUUGUUCCUUUCACUCCAUCAAACAAAGGCGACGAAGGCGAUGAAGCUCCUCCGUAGAAACCGAUGAAAAUUGCAGGAUUUCUUGAAAUUCCUCCAUAAAAUCGAGCUUAUUCAAGUUUUAUUUGUCCAAUUCUGCUGCAAAUCAGAGAUUAUUUGAUUAAAAUCGAGCUUUAUCAAGUUUAAAUCCGGAUGCAAGUUAAUUAGGUUUUCUCCAAAUUGAUGAUUCAAGUAUUAUCAGGUUAUCUGCAUUGCUCACAAAGGGGUAUUUUUAUAAAAGACCCAAUCAAUAUGCUCCAAACGUCGUUUAAAACGCCUUAGGUAAGAGUACUUUGCAUAUGGUAGAUUGGUGUGUAACAGUGUAAAUACAAAGUUCGCCAAUUUACAAUGACUGAAGAACAACAAAGAAUUCAGGAUGAGCUGAACUUGUUGGGAAGAUUGUCACAUCCAAACUUCGCUCAUUCAUUAGGAUAUUGCUGGACUGAGGAGAAGUUUUAUUUAGUCUCUGAAUAUAUGCCCAAAGGAAGUUUGGAUAAUCAUAUGCUCAACGGUAAACAGUUAAUUGUUUGCUUUGGAGUUGGGCGUUGAACUGUUGAUCAGUGUGGUCUAACUAGAUUCUGGUAUUUCCUCCGCAGGGUGGAAGUUCUGGAAAUCCUCCAAGUUUUGGUUCGACAUUCACAAAACAGGAAUUAUCUUAGACAAGCCCGAAACUGUGGAAAGACAUGAAAUGAUCAAGAAGACAAUUCAAGAAAAUCCAGAGAUGGAGGGAAAACUUCAGGCCAUUCUAGAUGCUUUUAGAGAUAAGUAAGGUACAAAGAACUGUCACAUGUUAUAUAUGAGUUGUGGUACCUGUUUUCUGCUAUUCCUUUGUCUGCAACUGUAAAUUCAGGUUGGUGCUGCUAUGUGCUUCCUUGCUUCCUGCUGGGCUAAUGUGCCUUGCUUCUACUAUCUGCUGUAAACUUUGAAUUUUAUUUAAAUUGCAGUAAUCAGACCAAGUGUUAUUGUGGUCUUAUUUUUUAUUUCUUGGGCAUCAGACAAUUGGUUGUGGUAGUUUUAAUCAUGGGCCAUUGUUGUAGAUUUGGAUUUUGUGAAAUGAACUUGAUGGUACUUUUAUAAUCUGUUGAUGGUAUUA